rnacentral:lncRNA from 10 species
ACUGGCAGAUUAUUGCAAAAGGGCACGGGGCAGAGGGACUAUGUUGUGAGCCUGCGAAAGAAGUUUGUGUGGGGACUGUGGGCAGUGAACGCGUUGGGAACAAUAUGGAAAACUGGGAGCCGCCUUGGAAUCUACAGGGCCGGAGAGACCGAGGGGCUCACUAGGUUGACCAGGCUGGUCUUGAACUCCUGGCCUCAAGCCAUCCUCCCACCUCAGCCUCCCAAAGUGCUGGGAUUACAUGCAUGAGCCACCACAUCCAGCCUACCUAAAAUAUUGAAUGCUGUUAAUAAAUCUCCUGAGGCCAGCAUAAGAAGGUGAUGGGCAAAACUAAUGCAGUAGGAGCUGAAAUCGACCAGGGGGUUCUUAUCCAACAGACAGCAGCAAAACUCUUUGUGUAUCUGCGUUCCUUUCAACAAGUGUGACUUCCUCCAUGGCAUCAUUCGUGAGCGUAACACAGAGCUCAGCAAUAACGUUUCUUCACUAACCCUACCAGGGUUUCAGUUGUGCAAUUUCACCAUUAGCAAAGCUUUUUGCUGAAAUCUGGCUUUUCAAAGGGAGAGUAUCCAGAAACAGAAGAUGCUGCUCUGAGAGGCUCUUCCUAAUAGAACUGCUGCUUCAGUUUAGCUUGAAAAAGCCCACACCCAGUUCCUAAUGACAAACAUCUGAACACCGGGUCUUCCCACGAGCAAGACCAUGCUAUGCCUCCUGCUCGCUCUGUUCUAUAAGCAACCCACAGAUUGCUCCCUGUGAAGAGGAGCCUGCCAGGGGAGCAGCAUUCCACCAGACCCUGAUUUAGCAAGAUAUUUCCGUAUCAUUCCCCCAACCAGCUGGAAGUCCUCCACUGCUCUUGUGUAAAAAUCUAACUCAUCUCGCUGAA